CCCUUAGAUGUUCUGGGCUGCACACGUGCUACACUGGCAGGUUCAGCGAGCUUCAUGCCCUGAUCUGAAAGGAAUGGGAAAUCUUUUCAAAACCUGCCGUGCUUGGGAUAGAUGUUUGCAAUUAUUCAUCUUCAACGAGGAUUGCCUUGUAAGCGCACGUCAUCAGCGUGCAUUGAAUACGGCCCUGUAUUCUGUACACACCGCCCGUCGCUCCUACCGAUUGAAGUUUUCGGUGAGUUGACAGGAGGAUUUUUUUGAAACUGGUUCGCCAGUGGAUUUUAGAUCCAAAUGCCAACGAAUCGAUGGCUUUAGAGGAAGGGGAAGUCGUAACA
rnacentral:rRNA from 1 species